CACGUAGGGUGCGAGCGUUGUCCGGAAUUAUUGGGCGUAAAGAGCUCGUAGGCGGUGUGUCGCGUCGGCUGUGAAAACCUGCAGCUUAACUGUGGGCUUGCGGUCGAUACGGGCAUCACUGGAGUUCGGCAGGGGAGACUGGAAUUCCUGGUGUAGCGGUGAAAUGCGCAGAUAUCAGGAGGAACACCGGUGGCGAAGGCGGGUCUCUGGACAGUUCCUGACGCUGAGGCACGAAGGUCAGGGGAGCAAACGGG
rnacentral:rRNA from 1 species